AGAAUCAACGCUGGCGGCGUGCCUAACACAUGCAAGUCGCACGAGAAAGGGGAGCAAUCCCUGAGUACAGUGGCGCACGGGUGAGUAACACGUGAAUAAUCUACCUCCGAGUGGGGAAUAACUGAGAGAAAUCUUAGCUAAUACCGCAUAACACUUACGAGUCAAAGCAGCAAUGCGCUUGGAGAGGAGUUCGCGGUCGAUUAGUUAGUUGGCGGGGUAAUGGUUUAUCAAGACGAUGAUCGGUA
rnacentral:rRNA from 1 species